GGCAGCCGCGGCUGUGGCCGCGCGGGCCGGGGAGGAGACGCAGCGCGCGGCGGCGCUGGAGGGGCGACGAGGGCGGUAUAGCUGCCCUGGAGGGGCCGGCCCUCGGGUGUGACAGUCCCUGCCUGGGAAAGCGAAGGAUGGCGGAGUCGAGACCCGUUCCCGGAGCUUCAAGGGGGCAGGGAGGAAGGGAACAGAUAAAACCCACAGAGAAAACUGCCGUCUAACACCAGAGAAUGCUCUCGUGCUUGCAGUGCCCCGGAUGAUAACGAGGAAGAUGUCAUGCAGAACUUUGACUCUCUCUCACCUCUUACGGACUUCUGCUGACCAUAGAAGGGCAGUUUGGGUCGUUACGUCCCUAAAUUCCAAAUUAAGAGCAAUUUCUCAAAGUGGAGUCCAGUUUCUAAGAUCCCCUGGAUUUCUGGACUGCUCUUAAAAGCUUCCUUCAGGACUUUUAACCUUGUCUUCAUGAAGGGAAACAGACCACUAAGGGCAAACUCACCACCUGGGCAAUGCCAAUGGGAAUGGAAGAUUUAAGAACAAGUCUUGGGGGACGGGGCAAAGACAGACUGUUAGGAAGGAAGCUAACACAUAUUAAUAACUUUAUGUUUGAGUCUCUGUGCUGAGCAUUGACAUAAUUGCUGUUAUUAACCCCAUUUUACAGCGGAAGAAACUGAGACUUAAGAAGUUAAGAAACCUACCCAAGGUCACCCAACUAGAAAGAUACAUGGAGAGAAAUGAGAAAACUGCACCAUAACUCAGAAAAGGGAAAGACCAGGAGGACACACCCAGGGAGAACUUCCUGAGUCUUUUUCUCACCCCAGCCCCCUUCCACAAAUUUGCCUUGGUUUCUUCUUGAUUGUGUAUAUGGUAUGAAUUGUAGUAUUUAUUUCAGGCAUUUAAGUCCUGAUUACCCAACCGAAACAUGAGGUAAGAACUCUGUCGUCUGCUUCUCUUGCAUCUCCCCUCACGUCCACACACAGUGCUGAAGUCAUUAGCCCAGGAAAUGCUCCUGAAUCCUGGUCAUUACACUUCCAUUUCAUGCUCUGCUUGGGGCAAAUGCUCUGGAAAUGGGCUUGCAUCUAAUGGGCUUGUCUGUCUUUUCAAGUCAUUUGGAGAUAUGUGAGCCAAGUCAAUUUAAUCUAAAGGACUGAGAGGAGUGAGGUGUACAUGUUUAUUUAAAUGCUAGGCACCAAAGAAGUAAACCUCAGAGAAAGCAGAAGCCUGGGCCUCCUGAGGGAUGCUCCUGGAAACAUGGCCUUCACUUAACCAGUGUCAGAGCAAACACCUGGAGGGGGUGAGUGGGGCCUGUUUCGUACCAGCUACUUGGACCAUCAGGCACAUGGCCACAGUCUUCAUGCCUGAUUAUUUGCGAGAACUCAAUAUAUGAUAAAGAAAGCAUCAAAAAUCAAUGGGGAAACAUAAGAUUAUUCAAGAAAUGAUGUUGAAAUAAAUACUAUGUGCAGAAGUUUAGUUUGGCACAGUUUUAGGAUAUUACAUUAUAUUUUAAGAUAAAAAUAAAUUGAGGUGAAUGUAUUGUUAUUCAACAUAAAAAAAGAAAAUGGAAUUUAGUAAUUAACUCUAUGAAUAAGGGAUUUCUUACCUUAGAAAUACGUAUGCAUUAAUAUAAAAACAUAAAGCAAAUAUCUUAAAUUUAAUUCAUACAACAUUAAAUUUUUAUGUCAAAAUUCUAAUAAACAAAAGUUAAAAGAAAACAAAAUGGGAAAACUAUCUGCAACAAAUAUUAUAGGCAAAAGAUGAAUUAUAGGCAAGAAAUAAAAGUAAUACAAUGGUGAGAUAUCAUUUUUCAGGUAUCAGAUUAGCAAAAAACAUUUUUAAUUAUGAUAACCGAUGCUGACAGUAAACAGCUAAUCUCAUGUCUUAUACAACCAUUUUAACUGGCAAUAUGGAACUAUGGAAUAUAUCCUAAGGAAAUAAUCCUACAUAUGAAACUACUUUAUUCACAAUUACGUUUAUCAAAGUAUUAAUAAUAGUAAACAUUGGAAGCAAAGUUUCUAAAUAUUGAAAAAACAAAUUAAUGAUGUACACUGUAGCAGCUGACAUGGUAUGUAGCCAAUGAUUCUUAUUAAGACUAUGUAAUAAUAUAUAAAAUGAUUUAUUUCAUGAUUUAAAAAGCAGGAUAAAAGUUCUAUAUUGAGCAUGGACACUAAAACGUAGGAAAAAAAAUCCUAGAAAAAAAAACUUGCGUGAUAAAACUAUGGGUCAUUUCUUCUACUUUCCUAAUGUUUUAGACGGCAUGUAUUAUUUUUUAAAUGAAAAAGGAAGACAUACAGCAAUAUAUAACACUUGCUUUUAUAUGGAAAAAUUCCAAAAGAAGACAUCAUGAGAAAGAUUUUCAAACAAAGUCUAAGUUGAUAUAGUAGAGUGAAUGCAGAACAGUAGAAAACGGGAUCAUCAGAUUCGUCGGUGCAGAAGACGUGCUAGGAAACUGUUUUUUGAUUUUGUUGUUUUAAUUGAUCUUUGCCUAUUAAUGCGUAUUUUUAAGAAAAUGUUGAUCAUGUUCUUUGCAGUGAAAUCAUAAGCAGAGCACAUAAGCUUCGUGGCAUUUCAGUAAUUCAGUUGUUGCUGGGCCAGAAUCUCCCGGCAUCAUUCAGAACAUCUUAGGACGAAAAGCUGCUAUGAGGAAAUUCAAGAAGCACGUAGAAUUCGAAUCCAUCCUUCUUCUUGGCAGAAACAGAAUUAAAACUGGAAUGUAGCUCUCCAUGGCAACCUUAUCAGUGUUUGGGGUCUGCUUAUUUCUGGGUACCAUGUUCCAGGAAAGUGUUGCAACUAAACUUGUUACCAUUUUUGCCUUAGCUAUGGGCCUCAGGCUAAGCAAGGAUUUGGCCACACUCACUGUUAAAAUCUCUGCUUAUCAAACUGGAGCAGGCAUGAUAUUG
ensembl:lncRNA